GGUUGUGGCUCAGUGGUAGAGUUUUUGCCUAGCACAUGCAGGGUCCUGGGUUCAAUCCUCAGCACCA
rnacentral:tRNA from 1 species